rnacentral:misc_RNA from 1 species
UGGAAUAACAUAAGGAGAAGCAACUACGCAACGAACACGAAAAUGUUCCGCAAGGCUCCACCCUUCCAAUGCAAAAAAAUUGAUCACAAUAAAAUCACCCUCCAUGCUUGGGCCAUGUCCAAAAAUUCCUUCAAAUACAGAAUAGCAUUUUCGUCUGUGCUCUCUUGAGAUAAUCCUUUUCUGAAGAGAGAAAGCAGAUUCCUCUGUCUCUGUGGAAUUAUAACUCUCAUGAAUAGAAAUAACAGAUGGCGAUUUAAUAGGAAGAAAAGUAACAUGUCUGUCUUCCAAAUGGGACCUUAAGUUCUCAUGUGCUGAGUGUGUUACUAAAACCACAUGAUAUUGAUUCUGAUCAUGAGCAAAAGCUGCAGCAAUGGCAGCAA